CUCUGUUAUGUCAUCCCCAUCCUAGGUUCCUCCCCCCAUUAGGUCAUCCCUAUCCAGGUACCUCCCUCCAUUAUGUCAUCCUCAUCCUAGGUUCCUCCCCCCAUUAGGUCAUCCCUAUCCAGGUACCUCCCCCAUUACGUCAUCGGUCUUGUAACCCUAUAAAAGAAUCUUGUAUUCAACAUUCAGGGCUGGAUUCUUUGAGAUGACAGUCUCCUUCAGCCCUGGGACCAAACAUGGAUCCAUUUGGUCCCGGUACAGAGACAGCAUUUAUUUAAGCCCUGCUGGGAGAGUCCCAGACACACCUGGGAGCCAUUCCAACUCCCACCACGUGCUCCUGAACCUGAGCAGCCGGAAGUAAAACUUUUUGGUUGGAUGGACCAAAAGGGCGUAACCAUUCUUAACCAAUGGCCGCCAGGGUUGUCUGCCUCCCACGGGUCACUUCACUUCCUGUCACCUCCCGCAAGCCAGGGUUCAAGACUGGGAAUAGGGAGCAUGCGCUUUCCUGAAACCCGAGGCGCCGGGGCUCAUCUUCCCGCUCUGGAUAUAGCGAUCACGCAACUUAGUCACAACACUGAGAAAUACUUCAUCCCAUCACUUCCAGUCAGUCCUAAAGAGAGUCUGGAAUUAUUUAUAUUUCUCUUAAAGAAGAAAAAUGAAUUAUGUCUUUCCUAAUACCCUAAUACCGUGUUUGGUCACCUUCUAGCACUCCUGAGACUCUGAAGCAGAAUGUCCCGACUGCUCUAGAAACUGUUUUUCAAACUCCUAGUGAUUUCUGUGUUGUUUCCCCGCUGGUCCCUGGCGUGUGUCUCCCUUCUGGCCUCCUUGCGAGAAGGAAGAUGCCGUGUCAUUUGUGACCCGCAGGUUAACAUCGCUCCUCAGACUGACACUGGGAUACAAAUCUCUGUAAGGUCCCACCAUGGGUAAAGGUUCAAUUCGCGGGAUGGAACUGAAGGAACACUUUGUUUAAGUGCUAAGAGUUUGUCAGGGCCAUUUGUUUAUUUUUCAGCUCCCGCUUGCUCCUAAUAAAGCCGGAGGGAUGCGGGUUGUCGAGGGGGGGGGGAGGGGGGAGGAGACCGGCGGCCACGGGCUCCCAGGGCGUUCCGCAUAGCUGUGGCUUUCUGCGCGCGCCUCACCGGACCAGCCCUGGGGAAACAAACAAACAGGCCACCAGGGCGCGGCUGUCUCGAGCUUUGCCUUCCACGCCUAUUCUCCCCCGGACAGGAGAAGAAGGCGGGGCGAGUUGUUGUGU
rnacentral:lncRNA from 1 species